rnacentral:rRNA from 1 species
UAACGCGUAGGCAACCUACCCUUUAGACGGGGACAACAUUCCGAAAGGAGUGCUAAUACCGGAUGUGAUCAUCGUGCCGCAUGGCAGGAUGAAGAAAGAUGGCCUCUACAAGUAAGCUAUCGCUAAAGGAUGGGCCUGCGUCUGAUUAGCUAGUUGGUAGUGUAACGGACUACCAAGGCGAUGAUCAGUAGCCGGUCUGAGAGGAUGAACGGCCACAUUGGGACUGAGACACGGCCCAAACUCCUACGGGAGGCAGCAGUGGGGAAUCUUCCGCAAUGGACGAAAGUCUGACGGAGCAACGCCGCGUGAGUGAUGAAGGAUUUCGGUCUGUAAAGCUCUGUUGUUUAUGACGAACGUGCAGUGUGUGAACAAUGCAUUGCAAUGACGGUAGUAAACGAGGAAGCCACGGCUAACUACGUGCCAGCAGCCGCGGUAAUACGUAGGUGGCGAGCGUUGUCCGGAAUUAUUGGGCGUAAAGAGCAUGUAGGCGGCUUAAUAAGUCGAGCGUGAAAAUGCGGGGCUCAACCCCGUAUGGCGCUGGAAACUGUUAGGCUUGAGUGCAGGAGAGGAAAGGGGAAUUCCCAGUGUAGCGGUGAAAUGCGUAGAUAUUGGGAGGAACACCAGUGGCGAAGGCGCCUUUCUGGACUGUGUCUGACGCUGAGAUGCGAAAGCCAGGGUAGCGAACGGGAUUAGAUACCCCGGUAGUCCUGGCCGUAAACGAUGGGUACUA